AUGGCUUCAGCAGAAGAACAUUCCAGUCAGUGUCAUCCUUCUGKUUUUUUUUUCCCCCAAGGGUAUGACGUGCUUGCUUUGAGCUGGGGGAUGGAGGAAGGAAAGGAGAAUGAGUUGAAGCUACCUUGUUCGGAAAGACCGGUUGUUCUGAUGAUGACCUGCCUCCUAGACCUUCAUAAUUGAGGUGGUGCCCGGCUGACUUCAAUGACAUUAGUGAGGAAAAUAUUUUUAUUAACUUUUCUUCAGAAUACUUUACAGUAAUAUGAAAAAUAUUGUUCUCCAGUUUAUUUUCUGUAGCUUCUAGAUACCAGGUAUAAAAAAAUCCAURUGUAGUUCCUUCUCACAGAUGAUGCUACUUGCAAGGGCAAAAUUCUCCUGCCCUGACCAGGACUUUCUGCUUGUCUGUCUUCCUCUCAUGUUGUUUUGCUCACGCACAUCCUUUUCCGCUGUUUAUGCCCUAAGAGCCUGCCAAAAAGAUGUGGUGUGAAAGAUACUUUCCUGAAAGAGAAGUACAAUUAAAAAAGAGUGACAGUCAUAUGGGAACAUACUGUUAUGAUUAUCACUGUUUUUUUAACAAG
rnacentral:lncRNA from 1 species